GACGAACGCUGGCGGCGUGCUUAACACAUGCAAGUCGAACGGAAAGGCCCUGCUUUUGUGGGGUGCUCGAGUGGCGAACGGGUGAGUAACACGUGAGUAACCUGCCCUUGACUUUGGGAUAACUUCAGGAAACUGGGGCUAAUACCGGAUAGGAGCUCCUGCUGCAUGGUGGGGGUUGGAAAGUUUCGGCGGUUGGGGAUGGACUCGCGGCUUAUCAGCUUGUUGGUGGGGUAGUGGCUUACCAAGGCUUUGACGGGUAGCCGGCCUGAGAGGGUGACCGGCCACAUUGGGACUGAGAUACGGCCCAGACUCCUACGGGAGGCAGCAGUGGGGAAUACUGCACAAUGGGCGGAAGCCUGAUGCAGCAACGCCGCGUGCGGGAUGACGGCCUUCGGGUUGUAAACCGCUUCCGCCUGUGACGAAGCGUGAGUGACGGUAAUGGGUAAAGAAGCACCGGCUAACUACGUG
rnacentral:rRNA from 1 species